GAUGAACGCUGGCGGCGUGCCUAAUACAUGCAAGUCGAGCGAACAGACGAUGAUCUUGCUCCUCUGACGUUAGCGGCGCACGUGUGUGUAACACGUGUAUAAUCUACCUAUAAUACUGGUAUAACUUCGGGAAACCGGAUCUAAUAGGGUAUAAUAUAUUGAACCGCGGUGUUCAAUAGUGAAAGACGGUUGUUCGGUCUCUUCUAGAUGGAUCCGCGCUGAAUUAUCUAGUUGUUAAGUUAACAGCUUACCACGGGAAGGAUGCGUAGCCGAGCUGAGAGGGGGUUCGGCCACACUGAAAGUGAGCGACGGUCUAGACUCCGAGGGGAGGCAGAAGUAGCGAAUCUUCCGAAAUGGGCGAAAGCCUGACGGAGCAACGCAGCGUGAGUGAUGCAGGUCUGCGGAUCGUAAAACUCUGUUAUUAGGGAAGAACAAAUGUGUAAGUAACUAAGCACGUCUGGACGGAACCGAAAAAGAAAGCCACGGUAACCUCCGU
rnacentral:rRNA from 1 species